UACAGGGGGUGCAAACGUUGCUCGGAAUUACUGGGCGUAAAGCGUGCGUAGGCGGUUCCUCAAGUCCGUUGUGAAAGCCCCGGGCUCAACCUGGGAAUGGCAGUGGAAACUAGGGGACUGGAAUCUGGCAGAGGGGGUGGAAUGCCGCGUGUAGCAGUGAAAUGCGUAGAGAUGCGGCGGAACACCGAUGGCGAAGGCAGCCCCCUGGGCUGAGAUUGACGCUCAGGCACGAAAGCGUGGGGAGCAAACAGG
rnacentral:rRNA from 1 species